AUGCCUGUGUCGUCCGCCAAGGACCACCUCUUCAAGGGGUCGCAGGACCAGCCGGGCCUGGUCACCAUCGCAAUGGAGGAGAUCCUCCAGUUCGCUGCAUCCAUCAGCGGUGCCGUCAAGGUCUCAUCCUACCUGGUGGUCCAGGACACCCACAUCUUUGAUCUGCUGGAGCCCAAGGAGCAAGAGGUUCUGGUGCUGGAUGAUGCCCAGGGGAAGACCCAUCUCAAGGGCCUGUCCAAGGUUCAUGUGAAGUCAAUUGAGGACUUUUUGCAGUUGGGUUGUUUUGAUGAAAACCAGGACAAGCAGCAACCCGCUAAACCUUUUUCUACCCAGCAGCGACCAACUAAAGCUUCUUCUACCCAGCUACCCACCAAGGGGCAUCAAGGGCUCAUUAUUCACAUAUCUAGCUCUGAUCAGGACGGCAAAGAACGUGCUGUGGCCAAGAUUAACUUUCUCAGCCUCACAGACUAUGUAGAUCCCAAGCAGAAGACUGGCGGUGCUCUGUCGAGCAGCAACAAGACCAUGUACACCUUGAUGAAUGUCGUGCAAGCGCUCAACAACAACCAGAACUUUGUGCCCUAUAGGCAGAGCAAAGUUACUCGUAUUUUGCAGGAUUCUUUGUGCAAGACGAGCGGGGCUGUGGUGAUCGCCUGCUUGGAAGAAGUUUCCUGCCAAGAUACAAUCUCUACUCUUAGCUUGGCCGCACGCUCUAGUCAAGCGGCUAAUGAGCAAUGCCACAGAUCCAUAAGUGUUACAAGUUUCAAAAGAGCAGAUGUUAACUCAUCUGCAGUUGCUAAAAGCUCCUCAAGGCCAAUUCUUUCUUCUAUGCACCAACCAAAUCCCGUGGCAGGGAAGCAGGAUCUGCCCCAAUGGAAUAUGAGUGUAGUAAAAGCAAUUGCCAAUAAGAGGUUAACACCUGGAGUCUUUCGAGCAAUGAGCAGCAAACUGCUGCUGCCGCCGGCUGCGCCAGCGGCGAAACCUCUGCCAAUCCCCUCCAUGGCCACUACCACCACCCUUGCUACCGCCGCCGCCGGAACCACCACCAUAUCCUCGCUCGGCCAAGAUCAACUCUUCGAGAUCUUCCUCCGCCUGCCGAGCUUGCCGGCCCUCGUCCGCGCCGCGCUCACUUGCCGCUCGUGGCUCGGCGCCGUCCGCUCCUCCCGGUCCUUCCGCAGCCUCUUCCGCGCCCUCCACCCGGCGCCCCUCGUCGGGAUCUUCCUUGAAAUCAACGAGGGCAGCGUCCGCUCCUUUGCCCCCUUCUGCCGCUCAGAUCCCGACGUCAACGCCGCACUCCGCCGCGGCGACUUCUUCCUCACCUCCCUCCCUGCGGAGGACGACGAGCACGCGUCCUGUUGGAGCAUCAUGGACUGCCGCGACGGUUACAUCCUCCUGUGGAACAUGGUGUCCGUCGCUGUCGUGAACCCCAUGACCUGGGCCGUGGACAUCAUCCCGGUGCCCGAGGAUGCUUGGAAAGUGAGUGACUGGAAGUUCACCCUUUGUUUCCAUCUGCAGUUUUCAGAGAACCCCUGGCCGUUCCACGUGGUCUGUGUGUGCUCACAAGUGUCUAGGGUUCGUGUCGCCAUCUUCUCGUCAGAAACGAGGGAUUGGGACGUCCACUCCUGGAUGGAAAUUGGUGGUGAAUUCAACAUGCAAGACAGUGUUACCACUCUGCUGGGUGGUUCUAUUUAUCAGUCUCUCUGUGGCGAAGCACGCGCGAUCAGGAUAAACAGAGCCACCAUGGAAGUUUCCUCUCUGUAUCUACCCUCGCUGGCAACGUACGGUGAUUCCAUGGUUGGGGAUACUGAGGAUGGAAAGCUCUGCAUGGUCUAUGCAUCUGAUGGUCUUCUCCAUGUUUGGAUCCGCAGCGGGUACGGCGAUGGGAUUGAGAGCUGGGUGCUGCAGGGGGGCGUUGCCUUGCCAAUCUCUUUGAGGGCAAAGUUUGAUGAGGACUGGAAGGACCAAGUCAGAAUUGUGGAAGUCAGGUCUGGACGCGUGUACUUCUCCAUGACGUGCAUACCUGGUUACACAAUGGCCAGCUGGUUCUUCUACCUUUCAAUUAAGACCAUGAAGAUUGAGUUCCUGAUGGAAGGCAUGUCUCAUGACAAUGCAUAUCCAUAUACUAUGGCUUGGCCUCCUUGUUUGAUUGGUGAUGACAGGAGCACUGAACAUGAAGUCCGCGGUUGUUUGCUGAAGUCCAGCAACUCCACCACGCUUACUGAACAAGUGCAAGCCCUGCAGAGGGAGGAGAUACUCAAGGCCAGUCUAAACAAAGCAGAGGAGGACGUAAGAUUAGUCAAGACCAGUCUAAACAAAGCAGAGGAGGACGUUAAGUUGCUAUUCGAGGAGAAGAGAGCUCUUGACGAAGCCAACAAGAGGCUGUUGUGCUUGCUGGAGAAGGAGCAGAAGCAUGGGUCUGAAACAGAGCAGCACUCUGCCACUAAUCCCACCAAGCACAAGUGCAAGUCGUCGAGCCCCGUCGGGCUGGCCAUCGAUUUCAACAGCGCGGAUGCGUCGAGGCAGCCAAACUCUCCAGACUGCGGGGUGCAGAAGAAGUGA
rnacentral:rRNA from 1 species